GUUGCCUUAGUUUAAAAAGAAUAGUCGGCUUGCAACCGAAAGGAGGAAUUUUUUCAGGCACCA
rnacentral:tRNA from 1 species